GUUUACGGCCCAGGGGAGUAGGCUCCUGGCCGUAAACUCUCAAACAAGCCAUGAAAUGGAGUUUAGAAGUACUACAACUUUAGAGGGGAAUUGUUUCAAGGCUAGGCAAGAGUUUAAGGCACCAUAUUGACUCCUAAGGGGAGUUUACGGCCCAAAGACCCUUUUCCCUUGGAGUUUACGGCCGUAAACUCCCUUGGGAGGGUUCUUAUUGUCUUUUCAAGUGUCUAACAAUUCUAGGAACAAGUCUAGGCUUCAAUACUUGGAUUAAGGGAGGUUUAAGGCACUAAAUGGGACCAUUUGAUGGAGUUUACGGCCAUAGAACUCUUUGGGCCGUAAACUCCCUCACACAUGAGGUCCUAAGAAUUUUAACUAGUCCAUAUCUCCUCUAAGUACUUGCCCUAAAAGUUUCUUGGCCUAUGGAAGUGUUUAGGGUGUCCUUUGACCCCAUUAAAGGAGUUUACGGCCCAAGAAAUACUCUUGGCCGUAAACUCUCAAACACUUAUGCUUUUUAUGAUUUUCCUUGGUCCUAAACCCAUUAAGGUGCAUGCUAAAAAUGAAGACUAAGCCCUAGGAAGAGUUUGAAGGGGUUUUGGCCCUAAAUCUUGGAGUUUACGGCCUAAGGAGCAUCUUGGCCGUAAACUCCCUUCCAAAGUGGGUUUCUAAUUGUUUUGUUGGUCUAAAACACUUGUUUAAGGCUUCUAGGUUCUUGUUCUAAGGCUAAAGGAUCACUAGGCACUCAUUUGUGCCCUUUACUUGGAGUUUACGGCCCAAGAGGUGGUUCCUUGGUCGUAAACUCCUCAAACUACUUGCUUUUGAUUUGUUUCUAGCCUCAUAUGAUCCUACACUAAGUCCUUAGAUAGAUGCCUAACACAGAAAUGGGACUAGGUGGCCUUUAGGCUUGAUUUUGGAGUUUACUCCCCCAGAACGUUCUUGGGCGGUAAACUCUCGGAUCUUCUGUUUUGGACAAGUAAUCAAUGUAAUAAAGCAUAUAACAAGCAUUAAAACACAUUUAGGGAAGUAGACUCACAAUCUGGGAUUAAAAUCCGAAGAUCCGUGAGAGUAUUUGGCUUUUCUCUAAUUGGAAAUCAAAUAAUGAACCAAUUUGGUUCAGAAUUCUAUUUAUAGUCCAGAGAUUUUUGGCAGAAAAUAUUUCUAUUCUCGGAAUGGAUUCUAAUGACUUAGAGUAAUGGAUUUACAGUGUUGCACAAAAUCCUAGUGCAACCACUCUCCUAAUAACUCCUUAGGGGUAAAACCCUAAAACUGCCAAACUUAUUCCAAAAGUUUGAAUUCUCACUGAAACUGCUCUACUUCUAUUGGAUUGAUGUGGUUUGAUUUGAAUGGAAAAUUUCGGGUUGUCACAUCAUCCCCCUGUUAAAGGGAAUUUCGUCCCGAAAUUAGAAUUUAGGCAUGGAAGUGUACACGAAUGAUCGAGACGUGAGGAGGAAACUUCCUAAUCGAUUGGUUCUAGCGCACUUAAGUGAAAACGGGCUCUCGGUUGGUAUCCCAACGAACCUUCACUAAUUGGUGACGGCGUUGUUUCGUCCACUUGACCUAUCGGUCAAGGGUCACUACGGUUAUGAUACGAAGGCACAGAUCUUGACGAAUGGACUUGUAAGAGUCCUGACGGAAAGGUAUGGUUUCACGAUCGAGAUGCGAAGAGUAGAAAGUACGCUACUAAGUCGCGGAGUAGGUCUAGUUUGAGCGAGGCACAGGACAGAUUCUGAUAAGAAUCUCAGAGGUCCUGUCAAAUAUGGAUUUAGUUUUCCACGCUUUACGAAGCGUAUAAAGCCAUUCACAGAGUGAGUUAUCCUAAAGAACUUGGUCACUCACUCGAAAUCUCGGAGGUUCCUUUUCCUGCGUAACUUCCCAGUCAAAGGCCACCCCUCGCUGGGUCAAAGUCGUACUAGUAUCUGAAGCUUGCGAGGAGUUCUGAAUGAACUAAGGCGGUAGGUUGGUAAGACCUAACAUUUGGCGAAAGCUGUCGGCUCCUCUGGUGUUGAUAAAUGCUCAAAUGUUUUGGCAAACUGAAAGAGUACUCAAAAUUUCUCACAUUACUAACAGUGUGUCCUAGAAAUUUGAUUCUUCAAUUUCAAAACUCAAGCCUAUAGAACUUCGCUAAAAGUUCCCCUGUGGGAAAUGUUUUCAUGGGUUUUCUUCUUACUACGAGGGUAGAUAAGUAAGUCAUUUCAUGGAGAAAUGACGAACCGAUCUAAGUAAGAAAGACGUAACCCUAAACAUUUAUCUCAUGAAAACCAUGGGCGUAUUGGUCCUAUCCGAAGGGUAUCACUACGGACUCGAGGCGUCCGUAUCGAAUUCGGAAGAUAGUCUCCCAGACAUCCUUCCCUAACACAUCGAACUGGUGAUAUUCGGAUCUUAGGUCCAUUCCUGGAAGUAGUUCUUUCCUUACGUGUGCUCAACUAUUUUGUCUAUGUGAGGCAGAGAUCACGAUUUCUAUGAAAAUCUUGACGGAGUCCUCGAUAUCCGAGGCACAUACGAUGCGAUCCAUCGACCUCUGGAAGAAUCUGACUGGGGUUCUCGAGGGUGAGAAACCUAGUCUUCUAAUUCUAUUUCUGUGUAGUUCGCUGAGUUGUCCAUACUAUUCUUGUAUCUCCGUGGGUGUUUAAACUAUAUGGUGAUCUGUUUUCAGGAGUCGUACUGGGUUCUAAGUUUAUUCCCAUGACGAUGUGAUUACUCGCAUACUUAGGCGGUUUCUCCGUCCUGAAGUCCAUUUUAGAAUUCAUACAGGGCUUCACGAUCACAAUUUCGUGUAUACGAGUCGUAUAUAAUUAAGAUUGAAAAGGUAGUCGAAUAACUGAUUCUUCCUUACCCUCGUAUCCCAAGGAGGAAAUGAGUUAAGGCGGAAUCAUCAAUUCUAAACCUGUAGAACCUUGAUUAUAUAACACUCUUAUGUAUACCUUCUUCAGUGAUAGAUCAUCUGUAUGAAUCCCUGGAUUGAACUUGACGUACUGCACGAGUGGUACUUCGGGGAUUUCUUCGGAUAGAAGAUAACUAAGAGGUACUCCGGGAAUGAGUACUUCAGUGUUCUGACAUGAUGGCUUUGCUGUAAAAGUGAUCUAGAAGAUAGGGACGUACAUAUGAAGUUGUUUUCGCGUCGAUCAAGUGGGAUCUGAUUGUAUGAUAAUGUCGAAAUCAUACAAAAACUUUAAAGACAUUAGAAUUCAAACAUAAGACAUUUACAGACCAUACGCAACCGUGCAACUAUGAACAAGAGUUACAGUACUUUAGAUUUACCACCAGACUAUUGCUGCGAAUAAGACAUACUACAAAAGACAAGUAUACGCAGCACGAGAAUUCCUAUACAGACAGGAUCUCGCAAAAGGUAAGACUCUAGUUGCACCAGUUCUAGAUAGUUUAUAAGUCUGUUACAACGAGACGCCUUAAAUACAUUAACGUGGUCCCUGAGCAGGCUCUCCUGCAGCUGUGAUCCUGAGAAUCUUCCCAUCAGCGCCAGAAUUUUUCGUUAUCGGGCAAUUUCUCUGGAGGUGUCCAAUUUCACCGCAUUGGUGACAUAUAUGGACAGUACCCACGUUGGUGGUGGAAGUGAAACGUCGAGUAGGAGUUAUGGGAACGUGGCUGUUUUCAUCGAUCUCCCCUUUUGGGCAAUUUCUGUAGUAGUGCCCUGCCUCACCACAAUUAUAGCAAAGUAGGCUUGCUCCCGUGGUGGAGGUAAUCUUACAGAAGUGAGCAAUAUGUCCCAUCCUGUUACAAUUACUGCAUUGUCGGGCUCGGCAAAUUCCCUUGUGGUGAUGGUUGCACCUGUCGCACUUCGGGAGUGUUCCUUNGUGUUCCUUUGUCUGCUCGGUACUGGGAUGGCAGAGGUUUGUGACUGUUGCAUGGCAAUUCUCUGAAACCGUUUGCGUUCCACUUUGGCUUGACGUUUUCUUUUCUUGAACUCUGAGUUGUUGUUUCGGGUGUUGGCGACUGUUACUAUUUGUUGGUUCCCCGAAUCAUUAACACGAUCGGGAUUUUCAAUUCCUUUUUCAGCCUUGUCCGUAUUGGCAGUGCUGCGGUUUGUCAGGACUGCUGUCACGGCAGCCAUCACAGCAGCUGUAACGGUGGCUUGAAAGGUAGCGGCGUCCAUAGGAAAAGUAGAGGUCUCGUUGCUUGGCUGGUUGUUUCCGGAUGACGACAUGAUUCUGUAACACGAAAGAGUAAAGAUUUGUGAGCGAUUCCGGUUGACCCUGAUGUACUUAGAUUGUUCACGCUAAAAGUAAGAGUGUGAUCUCGAAAGUUUGACCUACAUCUCUAUGAUGUAGUCCUAGUACGGACUGGAAGUAUGUUCGUAGAAUGGUCUCAAAACGUUUGUCGUUCGAACUGAGGUAUCGUGGGUUGGUGAAUAACAAGAUCCAACCACUGAAAGAGGCUUGGAAGUGUCUCUUGGAAUGAAUCACUAUAGUCCAAUGACUUGACUAAAGUAUGAUUAAAGUAAGAUAAAAGUACUUGAAUGAAGAAUGACUCAAAAGUUAGCCGGCUGUCAAUACCUUGGAUAUUCACGAUGUAAAGAUUCAAGAAAACGACCUUGCAAAGGUCUUACAUCAUAUCCACAGAAUAUAGUUCCUGACAGCAUAAAGACCUAACUAAAGUACUUACGGAACAAGAUAAUUUCAUAGAAAAUGCCUCAUCGGGCAUAGACAGAAAAACGAUUCCCCUUAUAAGGGAAAAAUAAAGUAAAGCGUCUACCACGGCGACGGUCAUCCCUCUGGUGAACUCUCAGUUCAACCAAUUAACGUUCCACGUCAAGUAGGUGUCCUUCGCACCCCAUCUGGCGUACUUGGAGCUCUAUGACUACGGCUCGUGAUUCAGCCAGUGCUUGCAGCAGGGUUUCGUGGUUUCUCCCUGAUCUCUCGUGAGUAUAUGUUAGACGAAUAGUAUAGAGGGUAUGCCUUCUAGCAUAGGCGACUACUUCUGAAAUCCGAUGUAGGGUUGUCUUGCCUGGAAUCUCAUUUUGGGCCCUUCUACGGACCAAGAUUGGCAAGACUCUAUCUGCUGAGCCCUGGCUCAAGUCGUAAAAGCUUCGGUCGCCAUCAACUAGUAUAAACUGANCUAAGCAUUCCACUCACUCAGGGUCAGGCCAUGAAAAGCCGGAAGAGGGUUAGGAAAUUGAAACGAAAGCUGCUCGAGGUAGGUUCUCAACCUCUGGUUCGGGGUUAGCAUCAUGAGAAAAGUCUUCAUCACGGUGAUCAUCCAAGGGGAUAGGAUGAUCAUUCUCUGGUUCUUCUCCAAACCAACCGGUUAUGACUUCCUUCGGAAGAUACUGGUUGUCAAGGGGAUGGAGUCCAGUUAUGAUUUCUAUGCGAGAAUUUAGGGUAAGAAGAUAAUUAUUAGACGAACUAUCUAUAUAAUUAUUUAGAAAAACCUUCAUUAGUUACAUCGCUAUUUGCGAAGUGCAUACCAGCUAUGUGUAAUCUAAACAGGAUAGACCUUCGAAUAAGUGACCUUAACUCCUUAUUCACACAGAAUAGGGGUAAGGCAAAAUUAUCACAGAUUCUGAGUCUAUGACAUCCUAAUUACAUGUAGCCUCAGUGUAUCCACUUAGCAACUAUUAACUUAGUAAUGAAGAUCCCUUUUUAAUUCUCAAGUAUAAAGUACUUAUAGUAACACCAAAAUACACCUAUAGUAUUUUAAAUUUAUUGUUAUGUUCUAUUGUUCUCAUUGUGGUAGGGUUGGUAAGAUUUUAGCAUUGUUGCAACCACACACUUAAACUUAGGCACAUGCUAGUCAACCCUCGGAUAAUAUAGGUGAUCAGGCUAUAUCUUCCCAGUUUUGAUCAUAUGUCUCUAAGCCCACUUGUGUUGUCCAACAAUCGUAAUUCUUUUGUACUGUCCUAAUAACAUUAAUUUUAAUAUGAAUGCAGCACGUAUACUUACUUAAAUAUUUUACUAUUUAAAGUAUAAACUCUUGGUCAGAGUAUUUUUAAUCCCUUAUGUAUUUAUAGUUAGUAUAUCUUUUAUGGGUUGAUAUACUUAAUUCACUAUAAACAAUGCUCUGAUACCAAUCUGUCACACCCCAAAACCAAGAACGGCGGAAACGUUCUGGGGCGGAGGACGUCAUGUAUAAUAUCAACAACAAUGUAAAGUAGUAAACAAGCAACAACAUCAUCCAUUGCAUUAAUAAAAUAAUUAUUAUACAAUUGUAUUCUGUCAAAUUUUGAUAAACACUAAAGCAUAAAUCAAAAUGAAAGAUAAGUCUUGAAUAAGCUCCAUCUUCCUUUCUCCUUGCAUCGGUACCUGUCUAUGAUGACCUGAGGAUACAAGUAAUUUUGAAAGCGAGUAUCAGCUUUAAAGCUGGUGAGAUCAUAAGUAUUUAGUGUCUUAAUUUGUAUGUAAGAAUUUGUAAGUCUAUGUAUUGUAAGAAUUUGUAAGUGUAUAUGAAUUGUAAGUAUUUGUAAGUGUAUAUAUUGUAAGAAUUUGUAAGUGUUUGAAAACCCUAGAAUCCCUAUGAUUCCUUCUAGUAUAUGAAGGUGUCUUCUACCAAGACCUAACUGUUCUGUGUGUGUGUCUCUUGUAAGAGUAUGUAUUUUUCCAAAGUAUAACUAUCAUUAUCCAAAAAUAUAGUUUGUACAUUUAUGUUUAAGUGAGGUUAUCACUAAAAAUAUGUAAUGGAAAAAUUAACGUAGUACUAAAACGUAGCUCUAAAAGGACUACUACCGUACUAACUACCUUAAACCGGAUUUUAGGCUAAGGCAUUAUGUGAUAAAUUGCACCAUACUAUCGACUGGUAACAACGACAUAAGAAUGGUCGUAAUAAGGAAUGACGUUUGGCACCCGCAGAUCUGCAGAUCCCACUGUAGCUAGCAGUAAGGUGUAGGAUAGUCAAUCCAGUAUAGAUCUAUACACAAACUCAUACUAUAGACUGGUUACAUCGACAUAAGAAUGGUCGAAAUUAAUGUAUGACGUUUGGCACCCGCAGACCUGCAGGUCCCGCUGUAGCUAGCAGCAAGGUGUAGGAUAGUCAAUCCAUUAUAGAAUCUAUACGCAAACUCACCGCUCCCCCUUCAAGAGACUCUGGCCGCAACUCAAGUCAUGAGGUUUUAAGUCAUGCUCCGAUUUAAAUCACAGUAAUUAACGUAUUCUCGUAUAUGUAAUGUAAUGUACUGUUCUAGCUGUAAUGUAAUGAACUGUUCUAGCAAGUAUAGUAAUGUAAUGAACUGUUCUAGCAAGUAUAGUAAUGUAAUGAACUGUAAUGUUCUAUGUGUGCUAGCUGCAAUGUGUGUUCUCUCUAUCUAGCAAGGAUAGUAAUGUAAACGUUCUAGUAUAGUUGUAUAUGUUCUCGUCCUAGUAUAGUUGUAUAUGUAAUGUACAGUAAUGUUCUAGAAAGUAUUGACUCAUGAAUGAACUGACUCAUUGUAUGAUAUCGCGUUCUAGUAAUGGUUCUAGUAUCUUCCUGAACUACCCAUAUGGUAGCUUACUAGUAAUCUAAGUGGUACGUAUGGACGUGGAUGUAUACCCUUGCUACCCAAGGGCAUAGGAUGAACUGGAAGGACCUUUUAUGACUUUAUAUGUACACAUGAUAUAUAACUAAUAUUUAAACGACCUUCGGACGAGUAUCCGAUAUCCCACCAGACCACAUCUCAAGGCGCGAAAAGGAAAUAGGGUGGAUAGUCUUCCUAAGUCUUUUAAACAUUUCUUAUAUAACUAUACAUAUAGAGGCAUGCAAUUUAUAAUAUAAAAGCAUAAAUAAGUUUGGUAAAACAUUUGAAACAUAAAUAUUAGUUUAAGGAAAGAUCGACUUGAUGUCAAUCUAUAAAACAAUUUGAAGGCAUAAGUUUGAUAAAACAAUAUAAGUACAAGGAACAUUUGUUUGAAACACAGUUGUAAAUAAGUUUGAAAUAUGAUAAACAGAGUAAGAGGUACAGUGUAAUAAGGAGUUUAAAACAUAUAAAAUGUUUAUAAAAAUCAUUUGAAGGAAACUGUUUGGUAAAACGGCUAAUGAGUAGCCAAAUCUUUUGAAUGUUGUAUAUUAAUCACAUGUGAUUGAUGUAAUAAGUAAUAUACUCCUACUUACUAAUCACAUGUGAUUGACAUAAUAAGUAGCAUGAUUCUACUUGUAUCCCCCCCAUAAAACAUUUAAAAUAGUUUAAAACAUUAGUUAAGGGGUAUGAACUCACCUGCAGUAUGUGACUGGAAUUGAACGGGCUGUUAUCGUACGGAAGGAUCGGACAAGUGCUUGGUGUCAAGUGAAGACUUAGACACACACAAUGAUCCUAAUUACAUAUGAAGACAUAUGUAUAUAAAUAAUUAGAGAUUUAAUCACUAAUUAUACAAGUAUAAACAUUUAACGCGAGGACAACACUUUUGGUCAAGUGCUAGGAGGCUAAUGGGUUGCAACAAAGGAGUGCAAUGCCCCUAAUGGAAGUUUAAGGUCAAAAGACCAUAUUCAUUGGAGUUUACGGCCCAGGGGAGUAAGCUCCUGGCCGUAAACUCUCAACCAAGUCAUGAAAUGGAGCUUAGAAGUACUACAACCUUAGAGGGGAAUUGUUUCAAGGCUAUACAAGUGUUUGGGCACCACAUUGACUCCUUUGGGGAGUUUACGGCCCAAAGACCCUUUUCCCUUGGAGUUUACGGCCGUAAACUCCCUUGGGAGGGUUCUUAUUGUCUUUUCAAGUGUCUAACAAAUCUAGGAGCAAGUCUAGGCUUCAAUACUUGGAUUAAGGGAGGUUCAAGGCACUAAAUGGGACCAUUUGAUGGAGUUUACGGCCAUAGAACUCUUUGGGCCGUAAACUCCCUCACACAUGAGGUCCUAAGAAUUUUAACUAGUCCAUAUCUCAUCUAAGUACUUGCCCUAAAAGUUUCUUGGCCUAAGGAAGUGUCUAGGGUGUCCUUUGACCCCAUUAAAGGAGUUUACGGCCCAAGAAAUACUCUUGGCCGUAAACUCUCAAACACUUAUUCUUUUAAUGAUUUUCCUUGGUCCUAAACCCAUUAAGGUGCAUGCUAAAAAUGAAGACUAAGCCCUAGGAAGAGUUUGAAGGGGGUUUUGGCCCUAAAACUUGGAGUUUACGGCCUAAGGAGCAUCUUGGCUGUAAACUCCCUUCCAAAGUGGGUUUCUAAUUGUUUUGUUGGUCUAAAACACUUGCUUAAGGCUUCUAGGUUCUUGUUCUAAGGCUAAAGGAUCACUAGGCACUCAUUUGUGCCCUUUACUUGGAGUUUACGGCCCAAGAGGUGGUUCCUUGGCCGUAAACUCCUCAAACUACUUGCUUUUGAUUUGUUUCUAGCCUCAUAUGAUCAUACACUAAGUCCUUAGAUAGAUGCCUAACACAGAAUUGGGACUAGGUGGCCUUUAGGCUUGAUUUUGGAGUUUACUCCCCCAAAACGUUCUUAGGCGGUAAACUCUCGGAUAUUGUGUUUUGGACAAGUAAUCAAUGUUAUAAAGCAUAUAACAAGCAUUAAAACACAUUUAGGGAAGUAGACUCACAAUCUGGGAUUAAAACCCGAAGAUCCGUGAGAGAGUAUUUGGCUUUUCUCUAAUUGGAAAUCAAAUAAUGAACCAAUUUGGUUCAGAAUUCUAUUUAUAGUCCAGAGAUUUUUGGCAGAAAAUAUUUCUAUUCUCGGAAUGGAUUCUAAUGACUUAGAGUAAUGGAUUUACAGUGUUGCACAAAAUCCUAGUGCAACCACUCUCCUAAUAAUUCCUUAGGGGUAAAACCCUAAAACUUCCAAACUUAUUCCAAAAGUUCGAAUUCUCACUGAAACUGCUCUACUUCUAUUGGAUUGAUGUGGUUUGAUUUGAAUGGAAAAUUUCGGGUUGUCACAUUAAUGGACUUGACUAGGUGCAGAUGAGCUUAUGGAUUCUAGAGACUUGAUCAAUUUUGACCUAGAUAGUUCCGUUUAGCCUGACAAUAUGACGCUUGGGU
rnacentral:lncRNA from 1 species